rnacentral:rRNA from 1 species
UACGUAGGGGGCUAGCGUUGUCCGGAUUUAUUGGGCGUAAAGAGCGUGUAGGCGGCCAGAUAGGUCCGUUGUGAAAACUGGAGGCUUAACCUCCAGCUGUCGAUGGAAACCAUCUGGCUAGAGUCCGGAAGAGGAGAGUGGAAUUCCUGGUGUAGCGGUGAAAUGCGCAGAUAUCAGGAAGAACACCCGUGGCGAAGGCAGCUCGCUGGAACGGUACUGACGCUGAGGCGCGAAAGCGUGGGGAGCAAACAGG